AUCUAAUAACGUACGUUAAAAAUGAUGAAAAAUGGUAAUAAUAAAAUUUACGAGGAAGAAGUGGAUAAAAGUUUAAAAGAUAAAACACGAGGCACGAUAGAAUUUAAAUUUCCUCCUCGGUGUGAUUUUUAGUCACCGUUGCCUGACAAACGAAAACAACUCUCGACAAGAGAGAAACUAUAUUUAUUGUACCGACUACGUUCCUUUCUGUGCAUCGCAUUAAAAAUUGGAUGUACACCAAUCACUCGAUAAUUAUGUUGAAAAUAAAAUAUAAUUAAUAAGAAUUUAGUUUGUUAGUAAUGCCAGGUUUAGAAGGAAGUAUUUCGCUCGAUACGAGUCCACCCACGCACGGCCUAAUGUCCGAUGGAAUCGCUUCUGAACAAGUAAAAAAAUUUCUCUUCCGAUCGCGAAAAAUACACGAGAGUGUACAGAACGACGAAAGUUUAGAAAUUUAUAUACCAGAGUUACUGCAAGCAAAUUACAGUUAUUACACUUGGCCUUCUGCACCGGUUCUUGCCUGGUUUUUGUGGGAGCAUAGAGAGGAGCUCAUCGGAAAGAGAGUUUUAGAAUUGGGUUCUGGUACUGCUCUUCCUGGUAUUUUGGCCAGUAAAUGUGGCGCUGUUGUAACUUUAAGCGACUCUGCCAAUUUGCCAAGAAGCUUGCAACAUAUUAAAAGGAGCUGCGAAUUAAAUGGCAUUUUAUCUCAAGUUAGAAUAGUCGGAAUUACCUGGGGUUUAUUUCUCUCCAGUUUAUUUACCAUUGGUCCGUUGGAUUUAAUUCUUGGAUCUGACUGUUUUUAUGAACCAACUUUAUUCGAAGAUAUUGUUGUCACCGUAGCCUUUCUAUUAGAAAAGAAUCCAAAUGCAAAAUUUCUAUGUACUUAUCAAGAGCGUAGCGCCGAUUGGUCUAUCGAACAUUUAUUGACCAAGUGGGGUCUUACAUGUAAUCAAAUAUCACUUUCUACUCUUGGUACAGAUUCUGAUAUUAAUAUACAUGAAUUGAUGCAAGAUCACACUAUCCACCUGCUAGAUAUACAAAAAGCUACUUGAGUUAUUUCUUAAUAUCAUGGGUAAUGUACGUAAAAUAUAUAAGAUAUUUGUUUAUAACUUGCCAUGGACUGAAAACGGGGUUUAGUAAGGGAUACGGCUUUAUCCAAUUUAUUGAUAAAUCAGCAUAUGAUAAAGUAUUA